rnacentral:sRNA from 1 species
GGAGCAGCUAAAAACAGUCCAGUUUACUACGCGGAGAGCAUGCCAUGGGCAGAUUACGGAGAAGAGUUUCGGAGAUUUAAUUACUUCCUGUCACGUGGUCUGCCAGCUCCGAUUCUGAAAGUGAUGGAGUAUCUGACUGUAGACUCUGGAGGUCUACGAUGGGGAAGGUCAUUUCAUACUGCUGGACAGUUUUCUUUGGCCUUGCUAUGGACAGCCUUUGCUUUCUGGAUGGUGGCCAACAUUCAAUCUUU